UUGAAAGGGAAACGAUUGAAGUCAGUCGUACCGGCGGGUAAUCAGCCUUUUGGGCGUGAUUAUGUGGAGCGUGAGGAGUUAAUCACCCUCAUCUUUGCAUAUUCGUGCACUUUGGGUGUACUUGCUCGUGUGGUAGGUUAACAUCAAUUUUGAUCGUCAUAAAAUGAUUGGGGGAAUGUAGCUUCGAUCUCGUAUUGAAGUGUUAUAGCCUUCGGUAGAUGUGAUGAUUGGGAUUGAGGAUUGCAACGGAUACCCUUCGGGGCUACCUGUCUGAUCUCUGAAAGUUGCUCUGGUGCUGAAAGCUUGCUUACGGUAUCAAAGUUGACGUUCAACAGGUUAGAACGGGAUAAAUUCGUUAAGGAUGUUGACGUA
rnacentral:rRNA from 1 species